AGUGAACGCUGGCGGUAGGCCUAACACAUGCAAGUCGAACGGCAGCACAGUAAGAGCUUGCUCUUACGGGUGGCGAGUGGUGGACGGGUGAGGAAUACAUCGGAAUCUACUUUUUCGUGGGGGAUAACGUAGGGAAACUUACGCUAAUACCGCAUACGACCUACGGGUGAAAGCAGGGGAUCUUCGGACCUUGCGCGAUUGAAUGAGCCGAGGUCGGAUUAGCUAGUUGGCGGGGUAAAGGCCCACCAAGGCGACGAUCCGUAGCUGGUCUGAGAGGAUGAUCAGCCACACUGGAACUGAGACACGGUCCAGACUCCUACGGGAGGCAGCAGUGGGGAAUAUUGGACAAUGGGCGCAAGCCUGAUCCAGCCAUACCGCGUGGGUGAAGAAGGCCUUCGGGUUGUAAAGCCCUUUUGUUGGGAAAGAAAAGCAGCAGGUUAAUACCCCGCUGUUCUGACGGUACCCAAAGAAUAAGCACCGGCUAACUUCGUG
rnacentral:rRNA from 1 species